rnacentral:rRNA from 1 species
UGGGGAAUAUUGGACAAUGGGGGCAACCCUGAUCCAGCCAUGCCGCGUGUGUGAAGAAGGCCUUUUGGUUGUAAAGCACUUUAAGCAGGGAGGAGAGGCUAAUGGUUAAUACCCAUUAGAUUAGACGUUACCUGCAGAAUAAGCACCGGCUAACUCUGUGCCAGCAGCCGCGGUAAUACAGAGGGUGCGAGCGUUAAUCGGAACUACUGGGCGUAAAGCGAGUGUAGGUGGCUCAUUAAGUCACAUGUGAAAUCCCCGGGCUUAACCUGGGAACUGCAUGUGAUACUGUGGUGCUAGAAUAUGUGAGAGGGAAGUAGAAUUCCCAGGUGUAGCGGUGAAAUGCGUAGAGAUCUGGAGGAAUACCGAUGGCGAAGGCAGCUUCCUGGCAUAAUAUUGACACUGAGAUUCGAAAGCGUGGUAGCAAACAGGAUUAGAUACCCUGGUAGUCCACGCCGUAAACGAUGUCUACUAGCCGUUGGGGUCCUUGAGACUUUAGUGGCGCAGUUAACGCGA